UCACAUAGAAAACAUAGAAAAUCCGUCUCAUCUAUCCCUCAAGUUACGUUCUUCAUCCACAUAGAAAACAACAAAAAGGUUUAUCCUCUAUCCCUCAAAUUCAUUGCUGCUUUAGAUAGAUCGAUAAGAAAUUGACAGCGUCCCUCUUCUAUUUCAAUUGGGUAUUCUAAUACUUGAUUUGCAGCUCAAAUUCACACUCAACUUGCUUGUCAGCACAUUCACCAGCAGAAGGCAAAUUUUUGGGUUAAUCAAGAUAAAAAAAUUGAGAUUUCUUGGUCAUCUGGUACCUUUAGAAAUAUAUUAUUUACGCCAUGGACAUCCAUCUGAAAUGGAAAGUGGUUGUGUGAUCUAAGUGUGAUGAAAGGAAGAGAUGAUUAGUUGGAGGUAAUAUGUGGCUGCACCAGUCCCCUUUUAGGAUAUAUAUAUAUAUAUUAUUUGAAUUAAAUGCAUGUUGUUGAUUCUAUCAUGUGCUUAUGAUUUUGUUUUUGUGCUUAUUCAAGUUGAGGAUCUAUCGAAAUUCUCUCUAUCUUUACAAGGUAGAGAUAAGAAUGAGUAUGUUAUUGUUGAUACUUAUUUGUGGGAUGAGCUAUUUUAAA